GGGGUUGUGGCUCAGUGGUAGAGCACUUGCCUAGCACAAUCAGCCUGGGUUCGAUCCUCAGCACCA
rnacentral:tRNA from 1 species